rnacentral:tmRNA from 1 species
GGGGGCGACCUGGCUUCGACGCGGGUUGCGAAACCUGAAGUGCAUGCCGAGAAUGAGAUCUCUCGCAAAACAGACUCACUUAAAUAUAAAUGCAAACGAUGAAAACUUUGCUGGUGGAGAAGCUAUCGCUGCGUAAGCUCGAUAGAGUCGCCAUCGACCGUGCGCUGCCAUAAAACCAGCGCCCCGUUGACCGAGCUUGCUUGUCGGUAUCGAAUCAACGGUCAUAGAAGAUAAGCUAGUGGCUUGAUUUGUCCCGAAUCAAGUUGCGAAAUCCAGGGACUCGCCGUGAAUCAUCCUGCCAGUCGGAGGAGACACGGUUAAAACCAAAAGACCGGGCUAAGCAUGUAGACCUAAGGGCAGAGGAUUUGCGGACGCGGGUUCGAUUCCCGCCGCCUCCACCA